rnacentral:pre_miRNA from 1 species
UUAUCAAGACGAAACUGGUUUUCACAGUGAUUUGACAGAUAUAUUUAAUUUCUGAGAUCAUUGUGAAAGCUGAUUUUGUUCC